UCAUCAUAAGACCAGAGGGAGGUGAGGUGGUUUCAUGACACUUUACUGUUCCUGAUCCUGGAGCCAUGUGUUAGCGGGUCUGGCCUGGUCCCUGGUCAAACAUAGAGCAACGUGCCCUGCCUCUGUCUCCAUUUAAUAGUAAAAGUCCUGUUGGCUUCAAUGGGAGUAGAGUCAGGCCAAUAUUCAGCUUUAUUGAAAGUCCCAACCAUGGUGUUUUUCCCCCUUCGAGCUCCCCACUCCUGGCUUACAGCAGUCAGCAGCCAAAUCACCUGGUGAUGUGAGGAGCUGACAUCAUCAGUUAGGAGGGAAAGAAGGAUCAGUCCUGCAAAUUUCCCCAUCACCCCACUGGGAAACUUGCCACUGAGCUCCGUUGGCUGUCCUGUGUGUUUGAGCAGAGUGGAGCAUGUGUUUAGGGCUUCUCUUCCUCAUAGGCAGAUUAAGGUCUAGGCACUAUAGGCCUGUACCUGGGGGCCAAAGCUCCUAGAGUCAGGUGAUUACAUUAAAAUCUGAGCUUUCUGUGUUUAAAAGAGUAGGUUUCUAGCCCUUAUGAAGACCUUGGAAAUGGGAGCUGAAUGUAACUCGUUCAAUGACAUCUGCCUGAGUCUGCACAAAGCCUAAUACAAAAGUUCUGAGAUGUUUAAACCACAUUGUGCAUUUCAAUUAGGUUUUACCUUCUAGGCCCACUGCUCUGGGGAGCCCUGUCAACUCUUCUGCAGCAGAGAACCUUGUGUGGUAGGAGGAAAAGAGUGCAGUGUACCUGUCCAACACACCCAAACGGAUAUAUCCCAGUUGCUAAAACAGCAGAGCAAAGGCCUAAGCUAGUUAGAGAUAUGGCCGAGCUGUCCAGUUAGAGUCCAGUUCCUGAGCUUAAAACUGGCAUGAACUCGUAACCAAAGGGGCAAACCCAGCUGUGUGGUUUGAAAGACUGACACCUACAGGAGCCCUGUGAAGUUGGAGUUGGGGUGACCUCUGGCACUGGAGAAAGAGUUAACUACAGGUGCUGGACCCUAGUCAGACCUACUAGGAAUUCACAGUGACUGCAAGCUUAAACCUUUGGUCUAAAUGGGAAGAGAUGUGGAUCUCCAUCCCAAAAGAGGUGACGCCUAAGAAGCCUAAAACUGACUGGGAGUUACUUAAACCUGAUUUAUUGACUGCCUGUGUUGGAAAAAUGAAGGGAAAUUAUGCUAUUAGCAUCAUUAGUACAUAAUCUUCUAGCCUCAGGGGCACUGAAUAUUCAAGCAAGCAAGCAAAAAAAGACUGUUUAUUGCUGAGCAGAUGGCAGGCUGGGAAUGGGCCAUUAGAGAAAACAAUAGGCCUCAGAAGAAGAUUAUCUCCAGUUGAGGAGCCUUCCUAAGGACACUACAAACAGCCUCUGAGUCAUGGCUGCUGUGACCCAACAGGGACAUAUGACCAAGUCACCUGGUACUGGACUCCAUCUUGGAAUACCAUUGUUUUUCCACUGACCGGAUGCGGAAACCAAGCUUGGAGAAAAAGGAUUACCGACAUACGCAAAAGCUAUUAAAGGCAGGGGAGUGACAUCAUCAAAGUUUUUCACUGACUCCCCACCCAAAGAGAUUCCUGGAAACACCUGAGGAACAAGGACUGAACUGGGGAGAAGGGCUGGACCCAGGCUAGAGGGAUUUCUAGCCUGGGAGAGGCAUACCUGGGAUUUUAAGCUGCAAGCAAGUACAGCUUGCCAUUUAAGAUUCUCUGUAACUGGCUCAAAUCAUCA